UCUUAGAGACUGAUAAGGAGCCAAAUUAAGGAGUCACCUUGAUGAAUCAUGACAGUAGGAAAUAGGCACUCUCUUGUUCUCCAAUUCAAGACCCAUGGUUCAGUUUGCUUUAGGGUGAAGGCCACAUAUUUCCCCCAUAUUUCCUAAGUACAUAUUCUCAGUUCUCCAAACCACCACAUGUUUUCUCAUCUCUGGGCUUCAUACACGCUUUGCUCUUUGCCCAGAUCUCUCCCCCAUGGCACAAGUGACGCAAACAUUGGAGGAAUGGGGCUGGGUCCUUCUCCCUGUUGCAACACAGAGCUCAGCACACGAUUUGCUUCUCGAGUGCUUAGAUCAGUGCAGAGAUGAGAUAUGCAAGAAGGAAAUGUGAGCACAGAUGGGGGCGUUUAAUUCGACCUGAGGAAUUGACUUCAAAGAGGAAGUGCCCUUUAAGAAGAAUCUUGGAGAAAGAAUAAGGACAGAGGUUGCUCCAGAUGUAACACUUGUUGGACUUGAAGCCAAGAGAAAAAUUAGGAGACCAUUUCCAAUGGGGUACUGGCAAGGAGGGAAGGUGAAGAAUAGUCUGAGCCUGAGGGGAAGGGCCGUGGUGUAACGGGGGGCAGCGGACACCGGAAUGCUGAAGCCCAACAGCUGGCUCGGGGAACAGGCGUGUAAAUGGAAGCUGGUGGUGAUUUGAACAAAGCCCAAACAUGCGUGGGGUUAGCUUGAUUUACCAGAAUCAACAGAACCUGGAAAAGAACCAAGCUGUGGAGCCUUUGUUUGGAAAGUUUUGUAGGAUAAAGAAGGAAGCUUCCCCAGACACAGCUUAGGAGAUAUGGAUAACAGAAUUGAUUUUGCAUGCUAACUCCAGUAAAUUGGAAGCGACUGACCAGAGCAUUGCACUGAGAAGGGUCACGAGCUUUGCCAAUUCAUCUUGAAACCAAGUCUUUGGACACUUCGAUAGUUUUCCCUUAACUGAGCAGGAAGUCAAUAGAGAAAGAUGCAAGCCCUGCAGAAUAACCAACGCCCAGCAACGGAAACGGAAGAGUUCUGAUGACGUCUUAGAGCUUGUGUCUGCCUGGGUGGGGGUAGGUGAUACUGCCUUUUCCCAGGCAUGGUGUGUCAAACAGGAAUGUACUAUCAUGCAGGAAAUGGCUCCAAUACAAACAGGGACGCCAGAGAUCAGGCUUGAAUGAGAGACUGAUCACAGCAAAUGGCACAUUACAGACAGACACUUAGAUCAAUUUCCUUCCUUUGUUGUGUCAAAAUGUUUCACUGUGUCAGGCUUCCUUUCCUUAAAAAACAUAUGUUCCCAAUCUCAUAUACAAUACAAAGCCCACCACAAGUCCUCCUUUACUCCCCCAACUUUAGGUUUCAUUUCGUCUUAAAGCUAAAGACUACUGGAAGGGCAGCUGGUACCGACGUAGGGGAACCAACCUAAACUGUUGCCAUAUUGUAUAUUUCCCAUAUGUAACCUUCCCAUUUCAAAAGGUCCCACCUACAGGGAUGUGUUUUUCUGGACCAAACAUGUUUUUUUGCAGGCAAUCAAUUCACAUUUCAAUUAUUAGAAAAAUAACGGAGUGCUUUAGCAGAUUGAAUCUGAUGUAUUUGACCCAAAGGGAAAAUUUGUUGUAAGGAGAAAUAGAUGGAAGAAAGGAACAAAACAUUUUUGUAACAGCUGUAACUGUUUGAGGACAGUUUUCUUUUAAUGAGAUGGGUGUUAGUGAUCGUAGGAAAUGCUGAGUAUGAGUAAUUGAGGGAAAAGUCAGAGUCAACGUUUCCUUUCCUUUCGGGAUGUUUCAAAGGAGGAGGAAAUCAUUCUGAGAAGUACUUACUGACUUAUAUGGCGCAGGACACUGUCCAUAGGCCAAGUUUACAAAAGAAUUGAGAAAGACACAUUCAGGAUCUAAAUGUCAGCUUCUAGCCUUUUGUCCUGGGGGCACCCUGCCAUCACUGAGACUGACCAAGGGGGCUAAUAUUAUCGAAUGGUUCCUUCUUGCUUUCUGGACCUGGGUUGACGCCAUAUUUGAAGAUGGCAAAACAUAAAAGAGCAAGAGCCAUCUUACCGAAGGUCUGUCUGUUAGGUUUUCUUUAAAUAUCCUAACUCCAGGGGUGCCUGAGUGGCUCAGGUCAUGAUCCCAGGGUCGUGGGAUCGAGCCCCACAUCGGGCUCCCUGCUCAGCGGGGAGCCUGCUUCUCCCUCUCCCACUCCCCCUGCUUGUGUUCCUGCUCUUGCUGUCUCUCUCUCUGUCAAAUAAAUAAAUAAAAUCUUUAAAAAAAAAAUAUCCUAACUCCAUUCAAGAAAUGUCUUGGAAUAUGUUUUAUGUUGUGCUGAAAUCUAAGCCACUUUUCUCUCCAGGAAAUGGUGGUGGGGUCUCACAAAUGAAAGUAAGGGUGUCUAUUGAUAGGCCUUUUGCAGUGGGGCAGGCAAUCCACGAAACUAGGAAAAGAACUGUCACAAAAGCCCAUUUCCACAGGAAAAGAACAUUGUAUGCAAUAAACACAAAUGAACUUGCUGCUGCACCCCUCACGCUCAUCCUGCCACCUCUUACCAUGCCUUCCUAUGUACUGUUGAAUCCACAGGCCAUGGAAUAAGUAGAUGACACCAUUGAAUAGUUAGGCUGAAAUAACAUAAGAGGCCACUUUAAUUAUAAGGCCAGAGCUCAUCAAUGCAUUGAAAUGAGGAAAAAGGAAUUGGAAUAACCUCGCUUGAAUUGCAUUAAGUUACUAUUUUGCAAAGCCAAAAAAUUCCUAGGGUCUUCACAGUAGGCAUUGUGGAGAUUUUUUUUUUUUCCCAAGGGGGUGUGUAGGGGUGCGUGUGAGUGAAUUAUAAAAGACUGCAAAUUACUUUGAAUAAAGAAGAAUUUUUUUAAUUUUUUUUAAUGAAAAGGGUUUCUACUACAUGUAGCAAAUUAAAUUCCAGAUGUUGGUGGCUACAAAAUCUCUACCAGAUGUAGGGACUCAUGGUGGCUGGGGAUGUUUAUUGCAAGUAUGGCAUUCAGCACCUGUUUAAAGAGACCUCCCCCUUACCUUUUCAUGUGCGCUAGCAUGUUAUUCAUCAGGAAUGACGAAAUAUUUAGCCUCCAUAAUUAAAGAGGCAAGGAAAAUUUCUAAAACUAAUAAUUAUUUUACUCUCAAUGCCAGUUAAGUCAAUGACUACAGUGUUUCUCCUGGGACAUUUCUGAAAAUCCAUUAAUCACACUUUGUCAAAAUAGGGGAUCCAUUUUGGGAAGUUAAUUCAGAGUGGAAAAAAGGACUUAAGGUCACAUAAUCCAGCCCAAAGGAAAGACACGGACUUUUAGCAGUCCCGCCCGAUUGCUGCUUUAAGGUAACCCGUUUGCUAAUGAGUCCUUAUUACAGAGCCUCCCCGUUUAUGAGCCACGGUGUUGCUACUGCAUUUCCCAUUGCAUAAGAGCAAACGAGCGCUGUGUUCUCAGCACACUGUCCGUCAGCAGAGCUGGACCGUCCCAGGCUGCUGGAGGAGGGUCCUGAAGAAGGCCACUUCCCCCUCUGGGGUCACACUGCAAUCCAAAUAUCUGUGUGAGCUCUACAGUCUGGAAUGCAUGUUAAAAAAGUGAGUUAAUUGAGAUUACAGUCUCUGCUACUUCGGAGUGAAUGUUUCAGUGUUUCCUGAAUCAGUCACAAUGUAAGCCACAUGUAAUGAUUGUCAUUGUCUUUGGGAUUCGUUGCUUGGUAUGGAGGUUGGGCAAGAGGAAAGAAAGAAUGUGACAUUUUUUGAUCAUACACACCAUCAUACAUUCCCUCACACACACAUCCUCUCUUCCAGUCUGCGGCUCCUUUAGAUGGUAAAACAAAUGACCUUUUUAUGAACUUGUUUUGCCUCCUGAGCUCUGCCCUUAUGAACUUAGCUGGGAUUCAUGUUUUCUGUUUUUUUUUAUAGACUUGAUUUUUUAGGUUCACGGUAAAACUGAGCAUAAAGUAGGAGAGUUCCCAUAUAUACAUCAUCCCUCCCCGUCCCCAGUGCUGCCUCCUCCACUAUCAUCAUCCCCCACCAGAGUGGUACACUUGAUACUGUUGAUAAACCUGUGUUGACACACGAUUAUCACCCCAAGUCCACAGUUUACCUUACAGUUCCCUCUUGGUGUUAUGCUUUCUGUGGGUUUGGACAAAUGUACAAUGCCAUGUGUCCGCCAGAGUCAUUUCUGCCCUGUGCAUUUCUCCCUUCUCACCCCUGGGAGCCCCUGAUCUUUUUCUGUCUCAAUGGUUUUACUUUUUUCAGGACAUCAUGCAGUUGGAAUCAUUAUGGUACAUACACUGUUCAAGUUGGCUUCUUUCCUGUAGUCAUAUACGGUUACCCAAGGUCAACUGCGUCCAGAAGUGGACCAUCCUUCUGACAAAAUGCUACAGCACAGUGCCUACGUCAUUCACCUCACAUCAUCUCAUCACCUAUGCAUUUUAUCAUUUUGCAUCAUCACAAGAAGGUUGGGUACUGUAUAGUAACAUAUUUUGAGAGAGACCACGUUCACAUAACUUCCGUUACAGUAUAUUGUCAGAAUUGUCCCAAUUUAUUAUUAGUGAUUGUUGUUAAUCUCUUACCAUGCCUAAUUUAUAAAUUAAACUUUAUCACAAGUAUGUGUGUAUAGGAAAAAACAAUAUAUAUAGGGUUUGGUACUCUGCAUGGUUUCAGGCAUCCACUAGGGGUCUUGGAACACAUCUUGUGUAGAUAAGGGGGGGGAGCUACUAUAAAUUAUAUGCAGACCAUGGAAUACUAUGCAGCCAUUUAAAAAGAAUUAAUUAGAGCAGUCCCAGUCAACUUGGAGGAAUUCCAUGAAGGUUUGAGGGAGAAAAGCAGAAUGCAGAAAAGCAUAGUUGAUGUGAACUUCCUCUUGUAAAACAAUAAUCAAAAAACUUGUCUCUGUAUGUGAGAUGUGUAUGAAUAAGUACUUAUAUAGGAUUAAAUAGAAUUAUGUGAGCAUAAAUAAUAUAUGAAAGGAUAUAGACUAGCUUCUGAAAAGUGAAUUCUCUUGGGGUGGGAGUAAGAGCUGAUGUAUAUAGAGGGAAGAUAAGAGAUUGCAAAAGUCAAACAAACAAAGGUCCACAUUUAUGCAUUCAUGUAAAAUUAUGUUUAAAUACAUAUAUUCAUAAAUAAAAGUUCGUUUGCAAGUAAAAUAGUCCAGAUGAUGGAAUUAAUGAAAAAGAAUGUUCCAUAAAAGUGAAAUAGUACGGAAGAUAAUUUACUCAUCUAUUUAUAAUUUCUGAUUUGUGACUUUUUUCUUUCUUGCAAAAGCCUAAAAUGGCUACUGUUUUAAAUUAUGGUGUUACAGAAGUUCAGUGUGUAUGGAAGGAUCUGUUGAGCUAUUUCUAAACUCCUGCUAGUGUAAGUUUGUUUUCUGAAAUGCUCAGCUUUGGUUUCUUACCACAAAAUGUAUGAAAAAGUCUCAAGUCUGACCCUGGUACUGUGUUUUCUUCCACUUAGCAGCCUUUAUAUGUGAUAAAACUAUGUUUGUGAUUGUUUGCUUGUCUUGUAGUGACUUAUUCUUCACUUUCAUGUGAACGGCAAUAAAAAUCUAUUUGAAGAUGCCGAUCGAAAUCUAUAAUAGCAAUAUGAUAGACACCAGACUUGGAUCUCAGUUUUAUCACUCACUAUGUAUGUGAACUUAGACAAGCUAUUCUAUUUCUGCCCUUCAGCUUCUUUAUUUGCAAAACGGGGACAAAAGUAGGACAUAAGCUAUAGGUUUGUUUUGAGGAUUGAAUGAGAUAAUUAAGGUAAAGUGUUUAGCGAUCCUCCUGGUACAUGGUAUUCAUUUAUUUGUUCAUUUAUUUGUUUGUUCAUUCAGGAACGACUUCCUGAAUGCCUCUAUGUGCCAGGCUCUGUGCUGGGCACUGGGAAUGGGAAGCGGCAGAUCUACAUAGCCUACACAUUAGCAGACGAGACAGACGAAUCUAAUGGCCACACAGUGAAUAACUGAAAACUGUGAUACAGGUUGAGAAGAAACAGUGCAGGGAGCGAUGAGAGUGUUUGAGCUGGCUAGGGAGCCAGGGGAGGUUUUUCUGAGUAAGCAAUGUGUAGGUUGAGAAAUUAAGGAUGAAUUAAUAGUCAUUAGUUGACGGGGCAUCUGGGUGGCUCAGUCGAUUAAGCGUCUGCCUUGGGCUCAGAUCAUGAUCCCAGGGUCCCGGGAUUGAGUCCCUCAUCGGGCUCCCUGCUCAGCAGGGAGUCUGCUUCUCCCUCUGCCUCUCCCCUGGCCUGUGCGCUCUCUCUCGCUCUCUCUCAAAUAAAUAAAUAAAUAAAUAAAUAAAUAAAUAAAUAAAAUCUUUUCAAAAAUAGUCAGUUGAAAUUGAGCAUGCAGAAUAUUCUAGGCAAAGGGAAGAGCCUUUACAAUGCCUGUGGCAAUGGGGAGAAGGAUGUGUUCUAAGAGUGGCUUUUUAAUAAAUGUCUGUCACCAUUUAUUUCACCAAGCUCGCUCCUCAUUUUCUCAUGAUACCUAUUUUAUGGGGACUGUGAAAGUAAAUAAUAGCCACUUUGUAGUGUUGUGUGGAUUACAUGAGAGAAUGCGUUUGAUGCAUACUACUAAAUACAUAGUAGAUAUACCAUAAACGCUCCCCCCCUCCAAUAUCUAGGCUUUGGUGCUGAGAUGGCAAGUGUAAAUUAAUUCUUAUUAACUAUAAAUGUAAAUUAAUGAUUUCACACACACGUGUGCACCCACCCACACACACACCAGCCAUUGUGUGGACAUCUCGUGUUACCCCUGGAGACCUGGUUUUGUUCGUGAAAGGUGAAGUUUUAACCCAGUGAAAUCUGUGCCUUCCAUUUUUGAGUCUUCGUUUUAAAGUUUUUGUGUUAUUAGUUUCCCUAGCCAAAGCUCCAGAAGUUGGCUAGUAUGGGGAAAAGAAAAGUGGUAUAACCUCUACCCGAAUCCUCCAGACUUCAGGCAAUAAUCAUUUCUGUUCUGGGUAUUGAUGAGGCACUCAUUUCAGCUUGCUACAAUUUGAUGUGUGCCAACUAUGUGUUAGGCAUUAUAUUAGUUUCUGGGUAAUAAAAUGUUAUUAAAACAGAAUCCU